UACGUAGGGUGCGAGCGUUGUCCGGAAUUAUUGGGCGUAAAGAGCUUGUAGGCGGUUUGUCGCGUCUGCCGUGAAAAUUCGAGGCUCAACCUCGAACUUGCGGUGGGUACGGGCAGACUAGAGUGUGGUAGGGGAGACUGGAAUUCCUGGUGUAGCGGUGGAAUGCGCAGAUAUCAGGAGGAACACCAAUGGCGAAGGCAGAUCUCUGGGCCGUAACUGACGCUGAGGGGCGAAAGCAUGGGGAGCGAACAGG
rnacentral:rRNA from 1 species